rnacentral:rRNA from 1 species
AUUGAACGCUGGCGGCAUGCCUUACACAUGCAAGUCGAACGGCAGCACGGGGGCAACCCUGGUGGCGAGUGGCGAACGGGUGAGUAAUACAUCGGAACGUGUCCUGUAGUGGGGGAUAGCCCGGCGAAAGCCGGAUUAAUACCGCAUACGCUCUACGGAGGAAAGGGGGGGAUCUUAGGACCUCCCGCUACAGGGGCGGCCGAUGGCAGAUUAGCUAGUUGGUGGGGUAAAGGCCUACCAAGGCGACGAUCUGUAGCUGGUCUGAGAGGACGACCAGCCACACUGGGACUGAGACACGGCCCAGACUCCUACGGGAGGCAGCAGUGGGGAAUUUUGGACAAUGGGCGAAAGCCUGAUCCAGCAAUGCCGCGUGUGUGAAGAAGGCCUUCGGGUUGUAAAGCACUUUUGUCCGGAAAGAAAAACGCCCGUGGUUAAUACCCGUGGCGGAAGACGGUACCGGA